rnacentral:tRNA from 1 species
CCCUGGGUAGCUCAGCGGUCAGAGCACCCCGCUCAUAUCGGGGAGGUCGCGGGUUCGAGACCCGCCCCAGGGAC